CAAAAUAAAGCUUAUAGUAAGUAUUUCAUUUACAUUGAAGAGAUUUUCGUGCGAUUCGAAUUGUUUUGA
rnacentral:tRNA from 1 species